GCUGAGCCAAUGGCUGCGGGCGCUCGAUGCUCGAUGGACAGCUCUGGAGGGCUCAUUGGGACUCGUCUCAAAGGGCCCAUUCUCUCAAUUCUCUUCGUUUUCGUUACGCCUUAUCCGCUCUCUUUCAUCCUUUCGUUUU
ensembl:ncRNA R07E4.7 ncRNA